rnacentral:rRNA from 1 species
GUCCAUGCCGUAAACGGUGGGCGCUAGGUGUAGGGGUCUUCCACGACUUCUGUGCCGCAGCUAACGCAUUAAGCGCCCCGCCUGGGGAGUACGGCCGCAAGGCUAAAACUCAAAGGAAUUGACGGGGGCCCGCACAAGCGGCGGAGCAUGUGGAUUAAUUCGAUGCAACGCGAAGAACCUUACCUGGGCUUGACAUGGACCGGAUCGGCGUAGAGAUACGUUUUCCCUUGUGGUCGGUUCACAGGUGGUGCAUGGUUGUCGU